AGGAUUUCUUUAGUCUCACUACUACAAAAAUGGCCUAAGGAACCACUCUUAAAGCACCAUAUAAAGCACUAAUCCGAUUUCUUAGAUAAAGAAACCGUAUAGGAAAGAAAUCUAGUUUCUUAGGUGGAAAAUAAGAAACCAUACAUUACAAAAAACCGGUUUCUUAGAUAAAGAAACCCUACAAAAGAGAUAUUUGGUUUCUUAGAUGCUUAAAUAAGUAACCAUACAUGACUUAAAUCCGGUUUCUUAUAUUUCAUUUUGUAUUUAAGGAAAUAAAAAAAAUAAAAAAAAAAACUAAAUUACCUUCAUACUUCGUAUAAACCGCCCCUUCUUGGCUUCCCCAUUCCUCUAAUCCUUAUCUUCUUAUAAACCGCCCCUUUUCCCCCAUUUCUCUCAUCCUUAGCUUAUAUUCUCCAUCAACAGAUCUGUCGCUCUUCUUGCUAUUGUCAUUUCAUCGCACCGCCAUAUCUUAACAAGGUCAUCUUCGUUCUCCUAGGAUUUUUUGGUAAGCCCUUUUCAAUCUCCGUUAGUAAAAAUAUUCCAAAACAAUUAUCAUGUCGUCACCUCCCUAUCAAGCCGUCAUGUUCGAGCAAGAAUGUCAAUUUAAUUAAAGUUCUAUGGAAGAAAGUGCAGCAAAGAAAAUAUAUGGAUUGAAUCUGAUCAAGACUGAAGAUGUUGGAUAUAAUAGUAUUUUUUAUUUUAGACAGUAAUAGGACUGUUUUUAAUUGUUGUAAGUGAUGUAAAUUGAGUUUAUAAUAAAUAAAAUAAUACUUUAAUGGUGUUAUUAAAUCCAUGUAUAUCUUUAUGUUAUUAAUUAGAUAUGUGAUUAUACAUUUUGUCAA